UUGAAACACUAGCUCUCAUAUGAUCACCAAAGUUAAGUAACAUUGAGUUUGGUCAGUACCUAGAUGGGUGACCACUUGGGAAUAUCAGGUGCUGUAAG